AAUCAACGCUGGCGGCGUGCCUCAGACAUGCAAGUCGAACGAUUAAAGCUCUCUUCGGGGAGUGUAUAGAGUGGCGCACGGGUGAGUAACACGUAAGUAAUCUACCCUCGAGUGGGGAAUAACAACCGGAAACGGUUGCUAAUACCGCAUAAUGCAGCGGCACCGCAAGGUGACAGUUGUUAAAGAUUUAUCGCUUGAGGAGGAGCUUGCGGCAGAUUAGCUAGUUGGUAGGGUAACGGCUUACCAAGGCUACGAUCUGUAACCGGUCUAAGAGGACGGUCGGUCACACUGACACUGAAUAACGGGUCAGACUCCUACGGGAGGCAGCAGUCGGGAAUUUUGGGCAAUGGGCGAAAGCCUGACCCAGCAACGCCGCGUGAAGGAUGAAGUAUUUCGGUAUGUAAACUUCGAAAGAAUAGGAAGAAUUAAUGACGGUACUAUUUAUAAGGUCCGGCUAACUACGUGCCAGCAGCCGCGGUAAU
rnacentral:rRNA from 1 species